rnacentral:rRNA from 1 species
ACUCCUACGGGAGGCAGCAGUGGGGAAUAUUGCACAAUGGGGGAAACCCUGAUGCAGCCAUGCCGCGUGUGUGAAGAAGGCCUUGGGUUGUAAAGCACUUUCAGUAGGGAGGAAGGUAGUGUAGUUAACACCUGCAUUAUUUGACGUUACCUACAGAAGAAGCACCGGCUAACUCCGUGCCAGCAGCCGCGGUAAUACGGAGGGUGCGAGCGUUAAUCGGAAUUACUGGGCGUAAAGCGCAUGCAGGCGGCCUGUUAAGUCAGAUGUGAAAGCCCGGGGCUUAACCUCGGAAUUGCAUUUGAAACUGGCAGGCUAGAGUCUUGUAGAGGGGUAGAAUUUCAGGUGUAGCGGUGAAAUGCGUAGAGAUCUGAAGGAAUACCAGUGGCGAAGGCGGCCCCCUGGACAAAGACUGACGCUCAGAUGCGAAAGCGUGGGAGCAAACAGGAUUAGAUACCCCUGGUAGCGACUGA